rnacentral:rRNA from 1 species
AGUCGAACGGAUUUUGGAGCUUGCUCCAAAGUUAGUGGCGAACGGGUGAGUAACAUAUCGGAACAUAUCCGGAAGUGGGGGAUAACGUAGCGAAAGUUACGCUAAUACCGCAUAUGCCCUGAGGGGGAAAGGGGGGGAUCGCAAGACCUCUCGCUUUCGGAGUGGCCGAUAUCGGAUUAGCUAGUAGGUGAGGUAAAGGCUCACCUAGGCGACGAUCCGUAGCUGGUCUGAGAGGACGACCAGCCACACUGGAACUGAGACACGGUCCAGACUCCUACGGGAGGCAGCAGUGGGGAAUUUUGGACAAUGGGCGCAAGCCUGAUCCAGCCAUACCGCGUGAGUGAAGAAGGCCUUCGGGUUGUAAAGCUCUUUCAGCCGGAAAGAAAAUGCUUCUAUUAAUACUAGGAGUAGAUGACGGUACCGGAAGAAGAAGCACCGGCUAACUACGUGCCAGCAGCCGCGGUAAUACGUAGGGUGCGAGCGUUAAUCGGAAUUACUGGGCGUAAAGCGUGCGCAGGCGGUUUUAUAAGCCAGAUGUGAAAUCCCCGGGCUUAACCUGGGAACUGCAUUUGGAACUGUAAGACUAGAGUGUAGCAGAGGGGGGGUAGAAUUCCACGUGUAGCAGUGAAAUGCGUAGAUAUGUGGAGGAAUACCGAUGGCGAAGGCAGCCCCCUGGGCUAACACUGACGCUCAUGCACGAAAGCGUGGGGAGCAAACAGGAUUAGAUACCCUGGUAGUCC